rnacentral:lncRNA from 1 species
AGCACAGAUCCAUUAAGGCUGACCACAAAUUGAUCAUAAUGUUUGUGAAUAGAUUUGAAUGAAUUUGAACUCUUAGCCUAAGCUUUUUUCUUUCUAUCAAUAAAAGAACAAUAUCUAUAAUUAUGUUUACUGCUCCGUUCCUUCGAUCUACACCAACAAUGUUUGUAUUUUUGGGGAGAUCCGGUGCUUAAAGUAAAAUUUUUAACGCAAUGAAUAGGGUGCAUUUUUUUCUGAUAUUUUGGUUUCUCUGUUCCCUAUUUAUCCAAAAUAUGCUCACCCCAAAUUCUUUAGUGCAAGAGCAUGAUGGAGCUUUCUCUUGCUGCUUUUCCUUGAAAGAAAGAAUGGCAACCAGGAGGUGCUUGUAGCUAGCCACUUAAGUAGGCAUGUGCCUCCCCAAAGCACACACUUAAAAUAGAACAAGCUUGAUCUUGAAGACUAUUUAAUCGACAAGAUGAUACAUUUUGCGAGAGGAAGUAUUAAGAUAAUAACAAGCUCGAAGACAUCCGUACGUUGUCGGCUAGGAUUCCUUUAGAUUAAUGGAUUGGAGAUCAUCAUCCCUCUUCACACCCUACAUUCUCUAGAUGCUCUUAUCCUUGGCAUCUGCACGAACAAGGAUUUGUA